GACGAACGCUGGUGGCGUGCUUAACACAUGCAAGUCGAACGGAAAGGCCCUGCUUUUGUGGGGUGCUCGAGUGGCGAACGGGUGAGUAACACGUGAGUAACCUGCCCUUGACUUUGGGAUAACUUCAGGAAACUGGGGCUAAUACCGGAUAGGAGCUCCUGCUGCAUGGUGGGGGUUGGAAAGUUUCGGCGGUUGGGGAUGGACUCGCGGCUUAUCAGCUUGUUGGUGGGGUAGUGGCUUACCAAGGCUUUGACGGGUAGCCGGCCUGAGAGGGUGACCGGCCACAUUGGGACUGAGAUACGGCCCAGACUCCUACGGGAGGCAGCAGUGGGGAAUAUUGCACAAUGGGCGGAAGCCUGAUGCAGCAACGCCGCGUGCGGGAUGACGGCCUUCGGGUUGUAAACCGCUUUCGCCUGUGACGAAGCGUGAGUGACGGUAAUGGGUAAAGAAGCACCGGCUAACUACGUGCCAGCAGCCGCGGUGAUACGUAGGGUGCGAGCGUUGUCCGGAUUUAUUGGGCGUAAAGGGCUCGUAGGUGGUUGAUCGCGUCGGAAGUGUAAUCUUGGGGCUUAACCCUGAGCGUGCUUUCGAUACGGGUUGACUUGAGGAAGGUAGGGGAGAAUGGAAUUCCUGGUGGAGCGGUGGAAUGCGCAGAUAUCAGGAGGAACACCAGUGGCGAAGGCGGUUCUCUGGGCCUUUCCUGACGCUGAGGAGCGAAAGCGUGGGGAGCGAACAGGCUUAGAUACCCUGGUAGUCCACGCUGUAAACGGUGGGUACUAGGUGUGGGGUCCAUUCCACGGGUUCCGUGCCGUAGCUAACGCUUUAAGUACCCCGCCUGGGGAGUACGGCCGCAAGGCUAAAACUCAAAGGAAUUGACGGGGCCCCGCACAAGCGGCGGAGCAUGCGGAUUAAUUCGAUGCAACGCGUAGAACCUUACCCGGGUUUGACAUGGAUCGGGAGUGCUCAGAGAUGGGUGUGCCUCUUUUGGGGUCGGUUCACAGGUGGUGCAUGGCUGUCGUCAGCUCGUGUCGUGAGAUGUUGGGUUAAGUCCCGCAACGAGCGCAACCCUUGUUCACUGUUGCCAGCACGUUAUGGUGGGGACUCAGUGGAGACCGCCGGGGUCAACUCGGAGGAAGGUGGGGAUGACGUCAAGUCAUCAUGCCCCUUAUGUCCAGGGCUUCACGCAUGCUACAAUGGCUGGUACAGAGAGUGGCGAGCCUGUGAGGGUGAGCGAAUCUCGGAAAGCCGGUCUCAGUUCGGAUUGGGGUCUGCAACUCGACCUCAUGAAGUCGGAGUCGCUAGUAAUCGCAGAUCAGCAACGCUGCGGUGAAUACGUUCCCGGG
rnacentral:rRNA from 1 species